rnacentral:rRNA from 1 species
GACGAACGCUGGCGGCGUGCCUAAUACAUGCAAGUCGAACGAGAGCGACCGGUGCUUGCACUGGUCAAUCUAGUGGCGAACGGGUGAGUAACACGUGGGUAACCUGCCCAUCAGAGGGGGAUAACAUCCGGAAACGGAUGCUAAAACCGCAUAGGUCUUCGAACCGCAUGGUUUGAAGAGGAAAAGAGGCGCAAGCUUCUGCUGAUGGAUGGACCCGCGGUGCAUUAGCUAGUUGGUGAGGUAACGGCUCACCAAGGCCGUGAUGCAUAGCCGACCUGAGAGGGUGAUCGGCCACAUUGGGACUGAGACACGGCCCAAACUCCUACGGGAGGCAGCAGUAGGGAAUCUUCCGCAAUGGACGCAAGUCUGACGGAGCAACGCCGCGUGAGUGAAGAAGGUUUUCGGAUCGUAAAACUCUGUUGUUAGGGAAGAACAAGUGCUAGAGUAACUGUUAGCGCCUUGACGGUAUCUAACCAGAAAGCCACGGCUAACUACGUG